rnacentral:rRNA from 1 species
CAGCAGCCGCGGUAAAACGUAGGGUGCAAGCGUUGUCCGGAAUUAUUGGGCGUAAAGAGCUCGUAGGCGGUUUGUCGCGUCUGCCGUGAAAGUCCGGGGCUCAACCCCGGAUCUGCGGUGGGUACGGGCAGACUAGAGUGAUGUAGGGGAGACUGGAAUUCCUGGUGUAGCGGUGAAAUGCGCAGAUAUCAGGAGGAACACCGAUGGCGAAGGCAGGUCUCUGGGCAUUAACUGACGCUGAGGAGCGAAAGCAUGGGGAGCGAACAGGAUUAGAUACCCGGGUAGUCCCUGUCUCUUAUAC